UGGAUGGAAGAAAGGAUUCGACUCCGAAAAGAAUGUGAGUGGAACUGGUGGCAGUUGGAAGACUGAAGGAAAUAGUUGGAAAACAUCUACAGCUACUACGGGAGGUACAUCGUCAGGGUGGGGUCAGCAGACAACUGUUAGUGAAAAGGAGGUUCAGAAUGACAAGGGAACAAGUUGGAACCAGGGAACCGGUUCAGGAAACGCGAGCACAGCUUGGACUGCAAACAAAUCCAACACCGACGAUAUGAACAAACCAAAAGAAACGAACGACGGACCGAGUGAUGCGUGGGGUAAAUCAACCAGCUCUUGGGGCAAAGGAAACAGCUCUGGUGGCCAGGGAGGCUGGUGACAGCUUUGGACGGUAAUUGUUAUUUUGCUAUGGACGGUCGAUUGGGCCAUCCAUGUAAUUAUGGUUUGUACAAAUAACAGAUGACGGACUAGCUCUUGGGGGAAGCAUGGAUUGGGACUUUAGAUGCUUAGAUGUAUCGUAAGUUAUUACUCUUGAAUUGCAGGACAUAAAACUUUUGGAAUGUUGGAUGUUUGGUACUCUUCAUUUUCAAUUUCGAAACUGAUAAUUGUCGCGGUGCUUGCUUUCGCG
rnacentral:misc_RNA from 1 species